rnacentral:tRNA from 1 species
ACCAGGAUGGCUCAGUGGUUGAGCAUCUGCCUUUGGCUCAGAUCCUGAUCCCAGGGUCCUGGUA